rnacentral:rRNA from 1 species
GACGAACGCUGGCGGCGUGCUUAACACAUGCCAGUCGAACGGAAAGGCCCUGCUUUUGUGGGGUGCUCGAGUGGCGAACGGGUGAGUAACACGUGAGUAACCUGCCCUUGACUUUGGGAUAACUUCAGGAAACUGGGGCUAAUACCGGAUAGGAGCUCCUGCUGCAUGGUGGGGGUUGGAAAGUUUCGGCGGUUGGGGAUGGACUCGCGGCUUAUCAGCUUGUUGGUGGGGUAGUGGCUGACCAAGGCUUUGACGGGUAGCCGGCCUGAGAGGGUGACCGGCCACAUUGGGCCUGAGAUACGGCCCAGACUCCUACGGGAGGCAGCAGUGGGGAAUAUUGCACAAUGGGCGGAAGCCUGAUGCAGCAACGCCGCGUGCGGGAUGACGGCCUUCGGGUUGUAAACCGCUUUCGCCUGUGACGAAGCGUGAGUGACGGUAAUGGGUAAAGAAGCACCGGCUAACUACGUG